GUCGAGCGGGCGUAGCAAUACGUCAGCGGCAGACGGGUGAGUAACGCGUGGGAACAUACCUUUUGGUUCGGAACAACACAGGGAAACUUGUGCUAAUACCGGAUAAGCCCUUACGGGGAAAGAUUUAUCGCCGAAAGAUUGGCCCGCGUCUGAUUAGCUAGUUGGUGAGGUAACGGCUCACCAAGGCGACGAUCAGUAGCUGGUCUGAGAGGAUGAUCAGCCACAUUGGGACUGAGACACGGCCCAAACUCCUACGGGAGGCAGCAGUGGGGAAUAUUGGACAAUGGGCGCAAGCCUGAUCCAGCCAUGCCGCGUGAGUGAUGAAGGCCCUAGGGUUGUAAAGCUCUUUUGUGCGGGAAGAUAAUGACGGUACCGCAAGAAUAAGCCCCGGCUAACUUCGUGCCAGCAGCCGCGGUAAUACGAAGGGGGCUAGCGUUGCUCGGAAUCACUGGGCGUAAAGGGUGCGUAGGCGGGUCUUUAAGUCAGGGGUGAAAUCCUGGAGCUCAACUCCAGAACUGCCUUUGAUACUGAAGAUCUUGAGUUCGGGAGAGGUGAGUGGAACUGCGAGUGUAGAGGUGAAAUUCGUAGAUAUUCGCAAGAACACCAGUGGCGAAGGCGGCUCACUGGCCCGAUACUGACGCUGAGGCACGAAAGCGUG
rnacentral:rRNA from 1 species